AACUGCAUAUAUUAAGCAUCUGAAAUGUAAUCCUUGUGUUAUUAGAACUGACUAAAGGAACAAACUAUGCUAAUCAUGUUGCCACCUCAUGUUUUGCGUGACAGCUGUCUUGCUGAAUUCCAGAAAUUCCUUUUACCGGCCGAGCAGAUCCUAGAAACAAGGGCGCGUAAAAUGGAUGCAUGUUCCUACUAUCUCUCAUGUUGCAAUUCACCUUGACUCAGAGUCAGGGCUCAAACACAACAUGGACUGCCUCCGAGUUUCCGUUACAUCAUUUUAAUACGUCUCCCUGCUCGGAAGAACGAUUUGUCACCGAUACAAAAAUAUGUAUAUUUCAAACCAGAUGAGCAGCUUAUUGGUCAGAUGGACAUUUCUGCAUCUGAAUUCAGCCCGCCAGGCUGGGAUCACUGUCCCGGCUGUGCUUCCUGACGGUGAUGCAGUCACAGACAGUGGUGUCAUCUUUUUCGGAAAUACUGCCCUUCAAGAAUGUGAUCCGCUCGGAGCAAGUGCGUGUCCCUUUGUGGAUUUGACUGGAAUGUAGCGUCUAAAAGACCAAAUAGAAAUAAACAACAGUUCAGGAAAA